AUGCACUUUCUUCCCCGUCUUUCACUCUUCUUCCUCCUCUCUUCCGCAUCGUCGGCCGCACACCAUUUUCCCCCGCUCACUGCCCGCGCCAUCUUCCUUGCAAACGCAAAUGCGCUAGCCUUCAUGAUUCCGGGACCUGGAAUCAUACCAGCCAAUGGGUGGUGGUUUAUCGCUCGUUCAGCUGACGGUGGUCAUUUGAUGCUCAUUCGCACGUACCAAAUUGACCAAACCAUUACAUCAAACCACAUGCAGUACAAUGCCUGGGGCGUUCGUGACAUUGAUGGCUAUGGUUGCUUCAUAAUUAACCGAUGCAAGUCCAAGAAGGAUUGGCCGGUGCUGCCGGCUGGCGUCAAGUUCGAUCCCACGGAUCAGGAGCUGAUCGAGCACCUUGAGGCCAAAGUGAGUGCUGACAGCGCGAGAUCUCACCCUCUCAUCGAUUUGUUCAUACCAACCAUCGACGGCGAGCACGGCAUAUGCUACACCCAUCCUGAGAAACUUCCAGGUAUCACACUGAGUGGCCUAAGAAAGCAUUUCUUCCAGCGCAACUCCAGGACGUUCAAAAGGGGCACGUGGACGCGUCGCAAGAUACAGUCGGAGUGCGGCAUGCACGCGAUGUGGCACAAGACCGGCAAUACCUUGCUGGUGAUGGUCAACAGCCACCAGACGGGCAGCAAAAAGGUUCUGGUGCUGCACACCAACAAGAACUUUGACCAGCAAAGGACAAACUGGGUGAUGCACCAGUACCACCUCGGGGACCUGGAGCAAGAGAAGGAGCGGGAGCUGGUCCUCUGCAAGAUUUUCUACCAGACGAACGCUAGGGCCGGGACUAAAAAGAUUAUAAGUUAG
rnacentral:rRNA from 1 species